CUCAUCACUCAUCUUAUAUGUACAUCGUCUUCACUAGUGAAAGUCCUAACAACACAAGAUGGUCUCCUCUCUGGAAAAGUUUAUUUUUCAACGAUGUUGAUUACCAAUGGAAGAAGAUGAAUCUGGGUUAUUUGAGCAAUACUGCAAUAGAAAUAUUUAAAUAUGAAAAUGUUUCUAUAGCAAACUCUGUAAUAUAUUUUAAAUUAAGACUAGUUUUUACCAAUAGUAAUUAUAUUGAUACUGACUGGAAGAGACUUAUACUUAAUGAUCAUGAUGUAGUUUCAAUAAAAAAUUGUUUUAAUCAUGUUCCUACCUUUUUAGCAAUGUUUGGAAUUGUUUGUACAUGUUGGAUCGUUUUUAUGAUGUUCAUAGCGUUAGGUUUGGCUUAAAAACUGCAAUUAAAAAUUUAUUUAGGUGUAUGACUUUGUUAGUUUAAGUAUGUAGUUUGUUUUAUGUCUAAUAAAAAAUAAUAUUCAUUCUGAUUAUUUUUGUUAUCAUAUUUCCUGUCUAACGUUUUUUUCCUUAAAAACGUUAAAUUUUUAUCAGUUAUAUUUUGAAUUUUUUGAAUUUUUACGUAAGGAACCACAAUAUCCGGUUGCAAAGUUUAUGGAAUAUAAAAUCAUAUCGCAUCAAUGAUUAAUUCAUUUCUACUUCGACUGUCCGUGUAUGAAAGUAAUCAUGUUCAAGUGCUCUCAAUGCGAUAACAAGUUUACUCGCAAAGAUGCUUUAACACGUCAUGUAAAAAAACAUAGUGAUAAAUUAUCUAAACUCACUUGCACCGGAUGUAAAACGUCAUUUACGAGAUUUGAUAACUAUAGGCGUCAUAUUACAAAUUCAUCAUUGUGUUCAAUGGAUUCGGAUGAUAUGACUCCUAAAAAAGCCCGCCUGACAACUAGAACACCUUUACAAGAAGUUACUACUAACGCUCCAUCAUGUUCAUUUCAUCAAUUUUGUGAAAUAUGCAAUAGUCACUACAGAGGAUCCAGAUUAAACCAUUUACGUUCUUUAAAACAUAAAAGUGUCAUCUCCGCCAAAAUUAAUGAUGAUGAUGAUUUCGUUGAAGAAUAUCAAGUUGCCUUCAAAUCAAGAAUUACCUCAUACCGAUUGAAAAAUUCACAACUAGAUGACUUGGAAGUGUGCAAUUUUUUUGAAAGAAAUCAAGAUAAACUUAUCACUUUAAUAACUAGAAAACUGAGAGAAUUUAACCAACUUAAAAUUAAUUUCGAACUUUUUGCUAAAUAUAUUUUACCUUCUAAAGACAUUAUCGAAAUCAAAUCAUUCAACACUAAAAAUAUCAUCAUUUCAAUAUCGACAAAUAUUAAGGUAGAACUGGAAGAAAUAUGUGGCGUCAUAAAAAACAAAAUGAGUGAAUUCUUGGAAAAAGAUAGUGGUUGGAUUUUAAUGGAAAUUUUGUUUUUGGAACUUAAUAUCAACAAAUUCAAUCCACUACGUGCAUCAACAUAUAUACCAUUACCGAAGGACAUAGCGAAGCGGAGAGCGGUUAUCAAUAUUCAUAAUGAUGAUAAUGAAUGUUUCAAAUGGUCUGUUUUGGCACACCUUCAUUCAACUGAAGUAAAUGUUAAUCGACAUCGAGUUGAUGCUUAUCGUGAGUUUGAAGAGGAAUUAGAUUUUACAGAUAUUUCAUUUCCGGUUAAAUUAACUGAUAUUUUUAAAUUUGAAGCACUUAAUAAUAUUAGUGUAAAUGUCUAUGGAACAGAGCAGCGUUUUGAUCAUGAAAAAGGUAAAUGGGUAUCAGAUAUUAUAGGUCCCUUUUAUUUAACUUCUAAGAAACGAGACAUUCAUGUAAAUUUAUUACUUAUCGUAGACGAUGAAAGAAUGAUCAAACAUUACUGUCUGAUAAGCAACAUUUCUCGAUUAAUAAGUUCACAACUUUCCAAACAUAAUCAUGCUAAAUUUAUAUGUAACGGUUGUCUAUUAUUUUUUUCGAGUGAACAAAAAUUAGUUAAACAUCGUAAGUAUGCUUGUAAUGAAGUUGUCACUACAUUACCAACUUCUGAUCUGAUUAUAAAUAAAUUUGGUAAAGAAGUGCCUGGUAAUGAAUUAACAUUUCAAAAUUUUGAUAAAUCUCUUAAAGUUCCUUUUGUAUUUUAUUUCGAUUUUGAAUCUAUUUUAAAACCUUUACGCAAUGAUAAUUCAGCCGAUAAUAUCCGUACAAUUGUUACACAUUUACAUGAACCAUAUAGUUUCGGAUAUUACAUAAAAUGUGCAUAUAAUGAUAAUUUAUCAAUUUAUCGGACUUAUCGAGGAAAAGAUGCUCCUAAAAUUU